GCUAGCAAUUAGCUUGCCCUGCCCUGUUAAACUAUUGUAAACCAUAAUAUGGCCUGAGCUAGCGCAAGGAACACCCUACAGAGAGCCCCUCAGUCUGCCACCAGUAACCACCACCACUGUUGCAUGAGUGAAACCCCGAGGAGCUAUGUCCUGUAGUGCGAGGUGUCAGCUGAGAGGUGCCAUGACAUCUGGAGGAGUCCGACCCCACUUGACCUUCAAAGCUAUCAAUCCACCCGUCCUCUCUGUCCGUCAUCACUCCCAGAAGAUGUUGGUGAUGUCAGAGUCCAGGCUGAAGAUCCAGAUCACUAGCGGUGCAGAGAUCAGGACGAACGACCAG